rnacentral:rRNA from 1 species
UACGUAGGGUGCAAGCGUUAAUCGGAAUUACUGGGCGUAAGGCGUGCGCAGGCGGUUUUGUAAGUCUGACGUGAAAUCCCCGGGCUCAACCUGGGAAUUGCGUUGGAGACUGCAAGGCUAGAAUCUGGCAGAGGGGGGUAGAAUUCCACGUGUAGCAGUGAAAUGCGUAGAGAUGUGGAGGAACACCGAUGGCGAAGGCAGCCCCCUGGGUCAAGAUUGACGCUCAUGCACGAAAGCGUGGGGAGCAAACAGG